AAGGUGCAGGUGCCAGGCCUGAGCUGUGAGGGCCCCUCCAGCGCCCCCACCCGGACCCUCCGCUGGGCCACUCCAGGCCAGGCGGUCUGUGUCAACUGCAAGGCCUAUGAAGGGUGCAGAGAGAAUUGCUUUUCUACCUUGCAGCACGAAGCCUCCCCCAGGGAUCCUCCACGCCCCCCAGCUGCACCAAGACUUUCAAUUACGAGCACCAGUGCCCUCCUGGAGUCUGGUGGUGCCCUCCCCAGCAGCCAGCCCCUCUGCCUCCGCACAAGGGAGGGCCCAGGGAGGCUCAGGACCUGUGUGGCUGUGUGUGUGUCUACACGGGCGGACUGAACCACCAAAUUCCUCCUCAGAGCCCAGUAAAGGCACCAGGCAGAAGGGUCUGGCCGAGGGGGGCCGCUGUCUCCUCACUCCUCCGUGGAGUCCUGUCUUCUGACUUUUGUCACGUGCUGCCGCAGCCUGUGGACGCCUGGUCCCCACGUGGAGAGGGGCUUGUGGUCCCUCCUCUGAGCGCCUGCUUUGUGCCCGGCCUCGGGCCAAACUUUGAAUGAGACUCCUGUCUUACUUGAGUGCUUAUGUUUUG
rnacentral:lncRNA from 1 species